rnacentral:rRNA from 1 species
AAGUAAGUAAGGGCGUAUGGCGGAUGCCUAGGCUCUCAGAGGCGAAGAAGGACGUGAUAAGCUGCGAAAAGCUACGGGGAUUGGCACAUACAAAUUGAUCCGUAGAUAUCCGAAUGGGGCAACCCACUAUAUUGAAGAUAUAGUAUCCUGUAAAGGAGGCGAACCCGGAGAACUGAAACAUCUAAGUACCCGGAGGAGAAGAAAACAAAAGUGAUUCCGUUAGUAGUGGCGAGCGAACGCGGAGAAGCCCAAACCAGUGUUGUUACGGCAAUACUGGGGUUGUAGGACCACGACAUUUGAUGCUCAACGAAUUAGAAUACUUUGGAAAGAGUAACCGAAGAGGGUGAUAGUCCCGUAUAGGUAAGUUGAGUUAUUGAUAGUGGUAUCCUGAGUAGUGCGGGACACGAGUAAUCCUGUAUGAAUCCACCGGGACCAUCCGGUAAGGCUAAAUACUCCUGAGAGACCGAUAGUGAACAAGUACCGUGAGGGAAA